UACGGGGGGAGCAAGCGUUGUUCGGAUUUACUGGGCGUAAAGGGCGCGUAGGCGGCGCAACAAGUCACUUGUGAAAUCUCCGGGCUUAACCCGGAGCGGCCAAGUGAUACUGUCGUGCUAGAGUGCGGAAGGGGCUACUGGAAUUCUCGGUGUAGCGGUGAAAUGCGUAGAUAUCGAGAGGAACACCUGCGGCGAAGGCGGGUAGCUGGGCCGACACUGACGCUGAAGCGCGAAAGCCAGGGGAGCGAGCGGG
rnacentral:rRNA from 1 species